UGUGGCCAUUCAGAAGCUAAAGAGAAUGCAGCUUUGAAUGUGUUUUGCUGAUAGUCAUCUAAUCAUCUUCAAAUCCUCUUUCCCCCACUUUAAUUUGAAGUGCGAAGACAUGGUUAGAUGACCAUCAGCAAACGCAUUCACAAGACAUGCACAUAUCUCUUCAUUUUGAUUUAUCUAUUAUUUGCUUUAGGUAGUAUCUUUUAUGUUGAGUCUGAGUGGACUUACAAGGUUUAUUCGCAAGUACUCCAAGGUACUUUUCGCAGGUUGGAUCGUGUUCAUGUCAGGCUCAAAUCACUUGUCAAAAACUUUAAUUGACCUUGAUGUAAAUCCAUUAAGCCUCGUAGGUUUUGGUCUACUUGGGCUUAAUUUUGUGUAAGGCAUGUUUUUAUGUAGAUUAUAGCAUUGAUUAAGCUCAAAUAAGUUGAGAAAAAGUGGAACUUGAGCCCAAGUUUCAGGAUUAGAAUUAAUUUCAUGCGGAGAGUAAAGAGCAAUCAUCUCAAUGAGGUUUCGCUUGAUCACAUGCAUGCAUGGCAAAUUUUACAUAUCCAUCUUUUUUA